CAAAUUAGAGCUUGUUAAGUAUUUCAUUUACAUUGAAAAGAUAUUAUUAAAUUAAUUAAUUUGAAAAUAUUAAAUUAAAA
rnacentral:tRNA from 1 species